rnacentral:rRNA from 1 species
UCGGGAAUUUUGGGCAAUGGGCGAAAGCCUGACCCAGCAACGCCGCGUGAAGGAUGAAGCUUCUCGGAGUGUAAACUUCAUAAGAAUGGGACGAAUAAGGAGGGGUUAACACCCCCUUUGAUGACGGUACCAUUUGUAAGCUCCGGCUAACUCCGUGCCAGCAGCCGCGGUAAUACGGGGGGAGCAAGCGUUGUUCGGAUUUACUGGGCGUAAAGGGCGCGUAGGCGGCGCAACAAGUCACUUGUGAAAUCUCCGGGCUUAACCCGGAGCGGCCAAGUGAUACUGUCGUGCUAGAGUGCGGAAGGGGCUACUGGAAUUCUCGGUGUAGCGGUGAAAUGCGUAGAUAUCGAGAGGAACACCUGCGGCGAAGGCGGGUAGCUGGGCCGACACUGACGCUGAGGCGCGAAAGCCAGGGGAGCGAACGG